rnacentral:rRNA from 1 species
UACGUAGGGUGCGAGCGUUAAUCGGAAUUACUGGGCGUAAAGCGUGCGUAGUCGGUUAUCUAAGUCGGGUGUGAAAUCCCCGGGCUCAACCUGGGAAUUGCAUUCGAUACUGGAUAGCUAGAGUUCGGCAGAGGGAAGCGGAAUUUCUGGUGUAGCGGUGAAAUGCGUAGAUAUCAGAAGGAACAUCAGUGGCGAAAGCGGCUUCCUGGACCAGAACUGACGAUCAGGCACGAAAGCGUGGGGAGCAAACAGG